rnacentral:misc_RNA from 1 species
AAGUCGUAACAAGGUUUCCGUAGGUGAACCUGCGGAAGGAUCAUUAUCACGUAUCCACGUAUAAACCAUUGUGAACCGUUCUAUUACCUUUGUUUGUGUAAAUGAAUGAAAUUGGUGUGUUUCUCUCCGGAGUCGCAUCGAUGGAGUUUAUUUUCCGCAAAGUGUAUUAACUUUAUAUUAACCAUUAUAACCCAAUCUUUAUAACUUUUAUGAACUAAUUUUUAUUUUAUACUCUUCGGAGAUAAAAUUCAUUACGAAACAAAGAACAACUCUUAGCAACGGAUAUCUUGGUUCUC